rnacentral:lncRNA from 1 species
ACCACAUUGUGGUCAUGUUUUAGAAGGUCUUUUCCUCUAUCACCACUAUCCGAUUGUAGAUGAAAUUACAGGUUAACACUGUCAUCAUCAUCAUCAUAGCCUUUUACCAACUAUUUGGAGUCCGUUACACAAAGCUUAGUAUGUAUGUCAUUCUACCCUAUCAAGGGCAUACCCUCAUUGAAGCCAUAAGUCCCUAUAAUUUUUCUCACUACUCCUAUAACCAUAUUAUUCUAGGCUUAUCUCUUGUCUUUUUUGAGUCUUUUGUUUGAACCAACUGGCACAUCUUAACAUGUGCUGUACUGGGUCUACACAGCACAUGAGCAGUCUACCAAAUUCUACUUUCUCUCAUCUUAUCACCUUUUGCAGCCAUACCUAAGUUCUCUCGAAUGUAUCAUUUAUAAUUUUAUCCCUUCUUAUCUUGCCACUUAUCUAUCUCAACAUCUUCAUCUCAGCUACACUCAUUUUAUGGGUAUGCUUUUUAUUGACCACCCAACAUUCCUAACCAUAAAGUAAAGUUGAUCUCACAGUUGUCUUAUAGAAAGCAAAAUUGAUCUCACAAUUGUCCUAUAGAACUUCCUAUUUAGCUUCAUUAUUAUCCGACAAUCGCAUAAAACUCCGGCUAUACAUCUCCACCUCAUCUAUCUAGCUCUAAUUCUAUGUGUGACAUCUUCCUCAAUCUGUCCAUUUUCUAAAAAUAUCGGCCCAAGAUAUCAAAAGUGCACUCUUUUUUAUAUUUCUUGGUUGUUAAUAUUAACUACUUCCUCGUCUCUUCUCAUAUUACUACUAAACUUAUAUUUCAUACAUUUUGUCCUAGUCUUGCUAAUUUUAAAACCUUUAAAUUCUAAAGCAUACCUCUAGAGUUAAAAUUUUGUGUUGUUGCCACUUCGGGUCACAUUGAUUAAAACUAUCUCAUCCGCGAUCAAUAUACACUAUAGUAUCUCAUCUUUGAGGCGCCUAGUUAAGUCGUUCAAAUGUCAGAUAGAAUUAUGGGCACAAUACAUACCCCUGAUUUGGACCUAUCGUUAUUGAAAACUCACACGUCUCUCCACUAGUUGUUCAUACACUAGUUAGCGCUCCCUCGUACAUAUCUCUCACCGAGUCAAAAUAAUAUUUGGAGACUUGUUGGGUUUGGUGAUAGUCAAAUCACUAUACCCAUAUUUUCUUCUAAAGAUUAAGGGUAUUAUGGUAAAAAAAAACAGACUUUCUUGAGAAGUAAUAAAAUGAUAUCUAUAUAAGAGAGUUAAUGAAGACAUAAUACCCAUGUUUUUGAAGUGGUCAUCCCUUUUAGGG